rnacentral:rRNA from 3 species
CAUCCUCCAAGGCUAAAUACUCCUGACUGACCGAUAGUGAACCAGUACCGUGAGGGAAAGGCGAAAAGAACCCCGGCGAGGGGAGUGAAAAAGAACCUGAAACCGUGUACGUACAAGCAGUGGGAGCCCCACCACCAAAGCAUUCUCUGGUGUUGAAGGCCCUGCAAAGCAGCAUCGCGGUGGCGGAGCGUCGUUUGCGACGCCCAACACACAAAACAAGCGGUGAGUGCUUUGGGGUGGGGUGACUGCGUACCUUUUGUAUAAUGGGUCAGCGACUUAUAUUCUGUAGCAAGGUUAACCGUAUAGGGGAGCCGAAGGGAAACCGAGUCUUAACUGGGCGUUAAGUUGCAGGGUAUAGACCCGAAACCCGGUGAUCUAGCCAUGGGCAGGUUGAAGGUUGGGUAACACUAACUGGAGGACCGAACCGACUAAUGUUGAAAAAUUAGCGGAUGACUUGUGGCUGGGGGUGAAAGGCCAAUCAAACCGGGAGAUAGCUGGUUCUCCCCGAAAGCUAUUUAGGUAGCGCCUCGUGAACUCAUCUUCGGGGGUAGAGCACUGUUUCGGCUAGGGGGUCAUCCCGACUUACCAACCCGAUGCAAACUGCGAAUACCGAAGAAUGUUAUCACGGGAGACACACGGCGGGUGCUAACGUCCGUCGUGAAGAGGGAAACAACCCAGACCGCCAGCUAAGGUCCCAAAGUCACAGUUAAGUGGGAAACGAUGUGGGAAGGCUCAGACAGCCAGGAUGUUGGCUUAGAAGCAGCCAUCAUUUAAAGAAAGCGUAAUAGCUCACUGGUCGAGUCGGCCUGCGCGGAAGAUGUAACGGGGCUAAACUGUGCACCGAAGCUGCGGCAGCGACGCUUAUGCGUUGUUGGGUAGGGGAGCGUUCUGUAAGCCUGCGAAGGUGUCCUGUGAGGGAUGCUGGAGGUAUCAGAAGUGCGAAUGCUGACAUAAGUAACGAUAAUGCGGGUGAAAAGCCCGCUCGCCGGAAGACCAAGGGUUCCUGUCCAACGUUAAUCGGGGCAGGGUGAGUCGACCCCUAAGGCGAGGCCGAAAGGCGUAGUCGAUGGGAAACGGGUUAAUAUUCCCGUA